UACGUAGGGUCCGAGCGUUGUCCGGAAUUACUGGGCGUAAAGAGCUCGUAGGUGGUUUGUCGCGUUGUUCGUGAAAACUCACAGCUCAACUGUGGGCGUGCAGGCGAUACGGGCAGACUAGAGUACUGCAGGGGAGACUGGAAUUCCUGGUGUAGCGGUGAAAUGCGCAGAUAUCAGGAGGAACACCGGUGGCGAAGGCGAUCACCUGGGGUUGUUCUGACGCUGAGGAGCGAAAGCUAGGGGAGCAAACGGG
rnacentral:rRNA from 1 species